rnacentral:lncRNA from 1 species
GUGUCCUCUAAACCGAGCGCUGACGAGCACCCCGAGAGCGGCAGAGUCUCCAGAGCCCCAGGCAGCAGCCACAGGAGGCCAGAGAGACAGUCGGGCAUCUCGGCCAUCUCAUACGACUACUCGGAAGAGGAGCUGAUGGCCAGCAUCGAGCAGGAGUAUUGUCGCUGAGGCCACCGGAGCAGCCCUGCAGGCCCCCGCCCCAGCCAGCCGAGGCUGCUCCUCUGCCCCCCACCCCGCCUGACCAGACUGGGGUUGCAGCCCCGCCCCUGCCCAGGCUCUGGCUGGAGCUGAGCCCCCUCCAACAUGCAGUUACUCCUGGUUCUUUCAAAAGAUCCGGCUUCAAGCUUGCUGGCAAAGGGUGGUCAGCCAGCAGACUCCCAGCUACUCCUCUCUCAGUCUCUGGGGAGGGCUUGUCUCCGGGGUUCUCCUGGAGCCUGAAAUGCUUUCCUGGCCGGAUGGCCCUCUCUGCACCAGGACUGGGGACAGCUCACCAGUGAGUGUGGCCCAGACUGGCUCCCUUGGGGCCUCUAAGGCGUCCCCCAGCACCUGACGGCACCCAGGCAGUGUGCUUUCCUGAGCUGGGGGGAGUCACCCUGGUUUUGCCCCGCAGCUGCCUGGAGAUGUUGGUUCUGUGGGUCUGGGGCGGGGCCGGAGAGUCUGAAUUUCUAACCAGCCCCCAGGUGAGACCCGAGCUCCUGGACCCCAGCCUGGCACCGGGUAGGAAGGCCUGAGUCUAAGCUUUAGACCUUAACUGACUCUUCCUUCCUGGCACUGGGGCUGCUCAGAGCCACAGCCCCCCUGCCCCCCUGGAGAUAGGCCUGCUCCCCUCCUCGGCAGGUGUGAUGGACGGAGAGCACAGGGCUGGGAGCUGGAGCCUCAGUUCUGAUCCUCGCCCUUGCACUAACGUGCCUGUGCGCCUCAGUUUCCCUCUCUAGAAAUGGAGUCCUGGAGGCUCUUCCAGGCAUUCCAGCCCCGACAGUCUGGGAUCAGGCAAUUCCAGGCUUCCUUGAUCUCUGCUGUUCUGCUAGCCCCCUGGGGCACAGAGCUGCCCCUGCAGCUUUGGGGGAGCACCCCGGCCCCAACUGGAGGAGGUCCUGAGGAACACCUGCUCUCACCAGCCCGAGGGGACCGGUUUACUCCCUUCCCACCUGGGAGAAG